CUUACACACUGUCAUGUCCGGCUGAAGAAAUCUGCAAUGAAAGUCCAAAUGUCCACUGGGAAUGGACAAAAGCUGAUGGACAGUCUACGGUGCAUUUUGGUUAUAGUUCGGUGUGUAUAGAGGAUUAUUGCCUGGAUUAUAAUCUUAAUCAUUUAGAACUCAUUCCUAUCGCCGAUGACCACAACACCAACAUCACAUGUGUGGUAGAUUAUGGUCACAGUGUUGCCAGGACAACUGACACCUUGACCGUGGAAUUUACUCCUAAGAUCCAAAAUGGUUCCCGGUGCAUGGUUGAAGGAAAGCUUGUGGUCUGUUUGUGCAUCAGUCGGGGAAUCCAAUGCCACUAAUCAACUGGCCUUGGGCCUCCCUCACUAACUUCUCAGUCACCAGCUUUAGUAGCAUCCAGACAGUUCACAGCACCAUCACUAUGCUGGCUGCUGACUAUAGCAACACCACAUGCAUCAGCAGCAAUGAACUGGGCCAGGUCGAGAUUGAACUUCCGCUCCUGAACUACACUGAGAACUAUUGGUUGGGUACGAAUCCCAAGUCUGAUGAAGCCCUUCCCUGGAUAAUUGCUGGUGUGUCUUUAAUUCUGAACCUGGUCCUCCUCACCACCCUGAUCAUCUGCAUUUACAAACGGGGUAAGAGUCAACAGAGGGUACCUAGUGUUGAAAUGGACACGUAUGCUUCCCUGAAUCAAGCAGAUGUUGGGCAAGACUAUAGUGUUAUUUUACCACGCACCAGGGGUGUGUCCAAGUAGUGUUCUGGGGAGGUACGCACCACUCAAGAAAUCAAAAUGUCCACCGCAUUAUCUAUUUAGCUUUUAUAUUUAAACGCAGGAAUGUAAGAAACUGUUACAUACUGUAAUGUUAGUAAUUAAAGUAGAUGAGUAGUGAAUAUUCUAAUGUACUUAUGUGUGCGUGCGCAUACUUCAUGCUAACCCUGCAUAAAUCAGGCCCCUGAUGGGCCACCCAAGUCAAAACUUGUUGGGACCCACAUUUUUAAGUCCUUGAGUUAUGUAUUGUUUUCUGUAUUUUAAGAGUACAUUAUUUUAACAUUGACUAGAUACUGGGCAAUCAAGUCUGCAAGGUGGAAUUCAUGUUCCACUUUAAUAUUUCCUAUAAUAUCAUAUAUCACAAUAUCAUGUCAAUCAAUACCAAUAUCAUCAGUGAUAUUGGUGAGAAGAGGAGCCUGCAAAGAGUUGGGGAUAUUAAAAAACAAAACCGGACCCAGCCACAACCUGAUGCUGUCUGGAAAGAGAUACAGAAGUAUCAGCUGCCGAACCACCAGAUUAUAAACAGCUUCUUUCCUCUGGCUGUGAGACUCCUUAACUCAUCCUCCACCCUCCAAAUAUAAUAUUGUUUUAUUAUGUCUUUGUUUGAUUUCUUUUCUA